rnacentral:snRNA from 1 species
GUGCUUACUUCAGCAGCACAUACACUAAAAUUGAAACAACCCAGAGAAGACUUGCAAAGAUCACAGGCAAAUUCAUGAAGCAUUUCAUGUUUUU